CCUACGGGGGGCAGCAGUGGGGGAUAUUGGACAAUGGGGGAAACCCUGAUCCAGCGACGCCGCGUGAGUGAAGAAGUAUUUCGGUAUGUAAAGCUCUAUCAGCAGGGAAGAAAGAAAUGACGGUACCUGAGUAAGAAGCCCCGGCUAACUACGUGCCAGCAGCCGCGGUAAUACGUAGGGGGCAAGCGUGAUCCGGAAUUACUGGGUGGAAAGGGAGCGUAGACGGGAAUGCAAGUCUGGAGUGAAAGGCGGGGGCACAACCCCCGGACUGCUCUGGAAACUGGGUAACUGGAGUGCAGGAGAGGCAGGCGGAAUUCCUAGUGUAGCGGUGAAAUGCGUAGAUAUUAGGAGGAACACCAGUGGCGAAGGCGGCCUGCUGGACUGUAACUGACGUUGAGGCUCGAGAGCGUGGGGAGCAAACAGGAUUAGAUACCCUAGUAGUC
rnacentral:rRNA from 1 species